UCUUUACAAGUAGUUACUGUAAUUUGCAUUGCAUUAUGGGUAUAGUACAUAGUAUUACAGUAACUUACUGUAUGUUUUGAAUUUGCAGUAAUUUACUGUUUACACAUUACAGUAGUGGUACUGUACUUAUAAUAUACAGUAAGAAUUAUAUUUGAUUUCCAACGGUCAUCAUAGCUGCUUCAUCGUGGUUCCCUGUUUCUGUAUUUUUACUCCUUUAGUGGUUAACAUAUUUUUAAGGCAGAAAGAGAGCAUGUACUUUUGUUUUUUUCACAUCCUAGCUAACAUUAACAUGCAGUUUAUCUAGCUACGUCAUCAAGCGUGGCUUCGCUUCCAACCAGCUUUUUCUCUCCAAGUGCAGCUCUGUCUCCGUGCUGUGGGCUCACACUGCUUCAGCUCUUCAAGACAGAUGACCUUUUGUUUUAACUCCCAAGCUUUUUCCCUCCAAGUGGCUGUGCAGUUCUGUCCUGCUGACUGCUAACAUAGCUUCAUCUCUUCAAAGACAAGACAACAGGUAAAAAGACAGCUCUUCAAACAUAUUUGAAGCCACAAAAUAGUCUGGAAAGGUAGAGGAGCAGCUAACCUAAUCUAUAACUUUGAGCUUGCUACAGCUGGUUAGCCUGCUAAAGUACCAUUACAUCUCCAACAUAGUGUAUAAGAGUCUGUAAAUGAGGACAAAGGUGAAAAACAUUAAAGUAGUUUCUGUUAUUUUUUGAGUUUGUUCAGCCACAGUGGCAGGUGGACAAAAAAGUUAAUUUCCAACCCUGGUUACAUAUAAGGACUGUUCACAUGUUUAAACCAUGCUCCUGUGAAUUUAAAGUUAAGUCAGUACUAACAGGUGCAACUAUGUACAUGUGUAAAUUCUGCAGCAUUUGUACUUCAGAAUUUACAGAAUUUUGUAGUCAUGUGAAGAAACAUCAACACACAGCUAAUUAUCGGUUUGCAUGUGGAAUAGAGCAAUGUCCUGCUUCCUUCAGAACAUUUUCUGCAUUCAGGUCCCACAUGCACAGGAGUCACCGCCAUUGCAGAAGUCAGACUGAACACUUGUGGAACUGUUCUUGUGGAAUGUAAUGCUUUAAAAAAUGCAUUUAGCCCCACAAACUGUCAUUCACAUCCGCUGUUUCAGAGUGGUAGCAGGAUGUAGGGGUAAAGUCUAGUCUAGUCUCCGGGAUGAGGUUCUCAAAAACCUGUUGUAAUCUGGGUGAACUGGCCCUUUAAAUAUAAAUUACUACCAGUAAUUCAUAUUUAAGAGAGUUUUCCUUUUAUGUUUUAAAGGUAUCUUCCACCAAGAUGUCUGUUGAACUGGAAAUGACCUUACCCACUACACCAAGGGUAAUUAUGCUUGGAAAUAGCUUGAUGUCUGCAACCCGGUGGAUGGUCAGUAUGGAGGAGAAGGUAUUUUUCCAGCCAGACCAACUACAUGACUUUGCCAGCGUCCUUGCUGUCGUUUUUGGGUCAUAUUAUGUCUUCAAUCUGGAGUAUCAGGAGUCGGCAUCCACCACGCUGGAGAUGAUACAACGGCAAAUUCUUUGUGAGGAUCAAUCCAGAUGUUGGUACCAAAUGCACAGCCAAAGUCGAUACAAGCCGCAAGACGGGAAGUCUUGUCAAGAGGAAAGUAGUCAGUGUGAACUCCCAGAUCACCACCUUCUUCCAACGACUUGCUGAAUUUGAAUGGAGGACUUCCAACUAGUUCAGCUUCCACAAGAUGGAUCCCACUGAUUUUGUUUGACGAAUGGAAUAAAAGUUCUUCUGAUGUAGGAAAUGUGUUCUAUAGUUUUGUUGUUUUACAGCACAUUAUAUUGUAUUGUGACAUUGUUCUUUAUGACAUUGCGAAUAUGUAAAUGGAUUUUAUUUCUACAAAUCUGCUGAAAAUAAAUACCUGUUAUUCACAGUA